rnacentral:rRNA from 1 species
AACGGAGGGGGCAAGCGUUAUUCAUCCUUAUUGGGCGUAAAGGGUACGUAGGUAAUGAAAAGUGUUUUUGAAGAAAACUCAAGUUUAUUUCUUGAAAAGUUGAAAAACAUUAUUAAUUCGAGAUUUUCAGGAGGUUGGCGGAAUUACUAAUGUAGAGGUAAAAUAUUACGAUCUUAGUACGAAUACCAAAGGCGAAAAGCAAGCUUUCUUACAGAUCUGACACUGAGGUACGAAAGCAUGGGAUCAAACAGGAGUAGAA